rnacentral:rRNA from 1 species
UAAAGAAUUUCGGUCAUCGAUGGGGAUGCGUUCCAUUAGCUUGUUGGCGGGGUAACGGCCCACCAAGGCAUCGAUGGAUAGGGGUUCUGAGAGGAAGGUCCCCCACAUUGGAACUGAGACACGGUCCAAACUCCUACGGGAGGCAGCAGUGAGGAAUAUUGGUCAAUGGGCGCUAGCCUGAACCAGCCAAGUAGCGUGAAGGAUGACUGCCCUAUGGGUUGUAAACUUCUUUUAUAUGGGAAUAAAGUGUAGUAUGUAUACUGCUUUGCAUGUACCUUAUGAAUAAGGAUCGGCUAACUCCGUGCCAGCAGCCGCGGUAAUACGGAGGAUCCGAGCGUUAUCCGGAUUUAUUGGGUUUAAAGGGAGCGUAGGCGGGUUGUUAAGUCAGUUGUGAAAGUUUGCGGCUCAACCGUAAAAUUGCAGUUGAUACUGGCAUCCUUGAGUACAGUAGAGGUAGGCGGAAUUCGUGGUGUAGCGGUGAAAUGCUUAGAUAUCACGAAGAACUCCGAUUGCGAAGGCAGCCUGCUGGACUGUAACUGACGCUGAUGCUCGAAAGCGUGGGUAUCGAACAGGAUUAGAUACCCUGGUAGUCCACACAGUAAACGAUGAAU